UACAGGGGGGGCAAGCGUUGUUCGGAAUUACUGGGCGUAAAGGGUUCGUAGGUGGCCAACUAAGUCAGACGUGAAAUCCCUCAGCUUAACUGGGAACUGCGUCUGAUACUGGAUGGCUUGAGUGCAGGAGAGGAACGCGGAAUUCCAGGUGUAGCGGUGAAAUGCGUAGAUAUCUGGAGGAACACCGGUGGCGAAGGCGGCGUUCUGGACUGCAACUGACACUGAGGAACGAAAGCCAGGGGAGCAAACGGG
rnacentral:rRNA from 1 species